UACGAAGGGGGCGAGCGUUGUUCGGAUUCACUGGGCGUAAAGGGUGCGCAGGCGGCCAAAGUGUGGUCAGGUGUGAAAAUCCCGAGGCUUAACCUCGGAAACUGCUCCUGAAACUACUUGGCUAGAGUACUGGAGAGGGUAACGGAAUUCACGGUGUAGCAGUGAAAUGCGUAGAUAUCGUGAGGAACACCAGAGGCGAAGGCGGUUACCUGGACA
rnacentral:rRNA from 1 species